rnacentral:rRNA from 1 species
UACGUAGGGGGCUAGCGUUGUCCGGAUUUAUUGGGCGUAAAGAGCGUGUAGGCGGCCAGGUAGGUCCGGUGUGAAAACUCGAGGCUUAACCUCGAGAUGUCAUCGGAAACCAUCUGGCUAGAGUCCGGAAGAGGAGAGUGGAAUUCCUGGUGUAGCGGUGAAAUGCGCAGAUAUCAGGAAGAACACCAAUGGCGAAGGCAGCUCUCUGGGACGGUACUGACGCUGGGACGCGAAAGCGUGGGGAGCGAACAGG